rnacentral:rRNA from 1 species
AUUGAACGCUGGCGGCAGGCCUAACACAUGCAAGUCGAACGGUAGCAGGAAGAAGCUUGCUUCUUCGCUGACGAGUGGCGGACGGGUGAGUAAUGUCUGGGAAACUGCCUGAUGGAGGGGGAUAACUACUGGAAACGGUAGCUAAUACCGCAUAACGUCGCAAGACCAAAGAGGGGGACCUUCGGGCCUCUUGCCAUCGGAUGUGCCCAGAUGGGAUUAGCUUGUUGGUGGGGUAACGGCUCACCAAGGCGACGAUCCCUAGCUGGUCUGAGAGGAUGACCAGCCACACUGGAACUGAGACACGGUCCAGACUCCUACGGGAGGCAGCAGUGGGGAAUAUUGCACAAUGGGCGCAAGCCUGAUGCAGCCAUGCCGCGUGUAUGAAGAAGGCCUUCGGGCUGUAAAGUACUUUCAGCGGGGAGGAAGGGAGUAAAGUUAAUACCUUUGCUCAUUGACGUUACCCGCAGAAGAAGCACCGGCUAACUCCGUG